GGGUGAAAUAUUUCAAAAAAUUAUCCUACGAUAUUUCAAAUCUAAGAUCUAUUAGAUCUAAUUCUUAUUAUCUAAUAUUAAAUCUAAAAUUAAAUCUAAAAAUAUGAGAAAUAGAGAAAUACCUCUAGGAUAACUAGAUUACCCUGUAGAUGAUCGCAGUAAUACCCGAGGUUCUAAAAUAGCCACGCAGUCACCUGACCUCUAUCGGUAUUCCCUCAAGUAGGAUCUGGAUC
rnacentral:lncRNA from 1 species